GGCAGGAAUGACUCACCCGCUGGCGCUCCGGGUCUUCGCUCCGGGUCUUCCACAGCACUGAAGGACCCACCACCGAAGACUCAGAGCAAGUGAAGAACCCGCCGCUGAAGUGCCGCUAAAGACCUGGAGCACCGCUGGCCCUGCAGAGCCACCACAGCUCUGAAAAAGAGUGCUGGAUUCCAUUCCUAGUUGUGCAUCAGCGCCAGAAUUACUUACCGACUAGAAGACAGACAAGCUGGGUGAGUGACAUCACCCAGACCUUCCUCUUCUGUCUGCAGCGUGUGGCAGCCGCUCGAUUCCUUUCCAGAAAUUUCCGCCGCCUCUCGUCUGGGUCUUCAUCCACCACCCUCCUCCGGCGACCCCCAGUGGGCUGAGGCGGCUGUAUUGUCUGCGUGGGCUGCAUCUGCUGUGCCGCUGGUGAAACCUAACGGGAAAACAACAAAAACAAAUUCAACAUAGAUGCAAAUCAAGAGAGACAGGGAGAAGCCUGACAUGCAGCUGGUUUCAGUCAAUACGGUGCAUUUCAAGGCAAAGGGACUCAAACAAAGAUACGAUCAAGUACCCAAUCGUGCUCCCAUUCACAUCAGCAGAAGUUAUGCCACUGACUUUAAAGGGAACUCCUGGUGCUCAGCAAUUCUGAAAAUUGGAUUAAGAAAGAAGACAGAAUACUUGGAACUCUGCCAUUUUUUCCUGAGAGUAGGUGGCAUCCACAUUUCUGAAGAUCCCCACACUGUUUCUUUACCUUAUAUUCCACCUCUAGAUGUCUCACCUCAAAGUAACCAGCCACCUAGCCCAAAAGGACUGCAGGACAUUUCUUUAAUAGCCCCUCAUUGCAGUUAACCAGAGGGACCGCUAUUGAGCAUCACUGAGCAAACCCUGCCCCUAGCAGAAAUGGGUAGCAAGAGACUAAGAUGAGGAAUUGGCAAUUAAAUUAGGUUUCCUGCAUGCCACUGCAAUUUGUUUGACAUCUUUACUUAUUUUUUGCCAUUUUUUCUCCUGUGUCCCAACAUCAAUAACUUGAUGGUCAAAAAAAAAAGCCAUUUUUUUCCCCAUCAGGAA